UCACCCUUCACCUUGGGACCUUUCAGAUGCAAAUCAAAGUCAGGCAUGGAGAUCUUGGGGGCUUUGAUGUUCAUCUCUGGCAUCUUGAAUUUAGGGCCCUUCAGUUUCGCAUCUGGACCUUCAAUAUUCACAUCUGGAACAUCAACGUCCACCUUGGGUCCUGAGACGUCAAGGUCAGCCUUGGGCAGGUUCACAUCCACUUCUGGACCUUCUCCUUUGAAGCCAGGCAUGCUGAUCUUGGGCAUUUUUAUCUUAGGCAUCUUCAGGUGCCAGUCUGGACCCUGAACAUUAACAUCUGGGACAUCAAUGUCCACUUUGGGGCCUUUGAGGUCAACUUCAGGACCUUUCAGAUCUCCCUCUACCU
rnacentral:lncRNA from 1 species